CUUUAAAAAAAAUUAUUGGUCCUCCCAAGAUGGUGGAGAGAGAGUGAAGAAACUGUUCCCCCCUUGGGUUGCUAUCGAUCAAGGGUAAAAUUCCAUUCUGAUACCAAAAUGCAGUAUUCGCACCACUGUGAGCACCUUUUAGAGAGACUGAACAAACAGCGGGAAGCAGGUUUUCUUUGUGACUGCACCAUAGUGAUUGGAGAAUUCCAGUUUAAAGCUCAUAGGAAUGUGCUGGCCUCCUUUAGUGAGUAUUUUGGUGCGAUCUACAGAAGCACUUCUGAGAACAAUGUCUUUCUUGAUCAGAGUCAGGUGAAGGCUGAUGGAUUUCAGAAACUGUUGGAGUUUAUAUACACAGGAACUUUAAAUCUUGACAGAGAUAUCUAGUAUUACUGGAAACAUUGAAUUGAAUCAACAGACUUGUCUUCUUACUCUGCGAGAUUAUAAUAAUCGAGAGAAAUCAGAAGUAUCUGCAGAUUUGGUUCAGGCAAAUCCUAAACAAGGGGCAUUAGCAAAAAAGCCUCAUCUCAAACAAAAAAGAAGAAGAAGCCUUUCAACUCCCCAAAAACAGGGCAGAAUAAAACAGUGCAAUAUCCCAGUGAUAUUUUAGAGAAUGCACCUGUUGAAUUAUUCCUAGGUGCAAAUAAACUGUCCAUACCUGUAGGAGAACAAGUUGCACAAAUAAAUGAUAAUUCAGAACUCAAGUUGACAUCAGUUGUGGAAAAUACUUUUCCAGCACAAGAUAUUGUGCAAACUGUUACAGUGAAACGGAAACGUGGAAAAUCACAGCCGAACUGUGCUCUGAAAGAACACUCUAUGUCUAAUAUAGCCAGUGUCAGGAGUCCUUAUGAGGUGGAGAACUUCGGGGAAGAGCUGGAUCAGAGGUAUUCCAAGGCCAAGCCAAUGUGUAACACAUGUGGGAAAGUGUUUUCAGAAGCCAGCAGCUUGAGAAGGCACAUGAGAAUACAUAAAGGAGUCAAACCUUAUGUCUGCCACUUAUGUGGAAAGGCAUUUACCCAGUGUAACCAGCUGAAAACCCAUGUAAGAACUCAUACAGGUGAGAAGCCAUACAAAUGUGAAUUGUGUGAUAAAGGAUUUGCUCAGAAAUGUCAGCUAGUCUUCCAUAGUCGCAUGCAUCAUGGUGAAGAAAAACCCUAUAAACGUGAUGUAUGCAACUUACAGUUUGCAACUUCUAGCAAUCUCAAGAUUCAUGCAAGGAAGCAUAGUGGAGAGAAACCAUAUGUCUGUGAUAGGUGUGGACAGAGAUUUGCCCAAGCCAGCACACUGACCUAUCAUGUCCGUAGGCACACUGGAGAAAAGCCUUACGUGUGUGAUACCUGUGGGAAGGCAUUUGCUGUCUCUAGCUCUCUUAUCACUCAUUCUCGGAAACAUACAGGUGAAAAACCAUACAUAUGUGGUAUUUGUGGGAAAAGUUUUAUUUCCUCUGGAGAGCUCAACAAACACUUUAGAUCCCAUACAGGAGAAAGACCAUUUGUCUGCGAAUUAUGUGGUAAUUCUUACAUAGAUAUUAAAAAUUUAAAGAAGCACAAAACAAAAGUCCAUUCUGGUGCAGAUAAAACUCUAGACUCCAGUGUAGAGGAUCAUGCUUUGAGUGAACAAGAUUCCAUACAAAAGAGUCCUUUAUCAGAAACUAUGGAUGUGAAACCUUCUGACAUGACUUUACCAUUAGCUCUUCCACUUGGGACUGAGGACCAUCACGUGCUUCUGCCUGUCACAGAUACUCAGUCUCCUACAUCAGAUACAUUGAUGAGGUCAACUGUGAAUGGAUAUUCAGAACCACAGUUGAUAUUUUUACAACAAUUAUACUGAAUGUGAGGAAUAUGGAAUUGCUAAGAUGUCAUUGAUAGCAAACAUCUCUGGUAAGGUGCAUAUAUUCACAUUAAAUUCCCAUUCAUUUGAGUUGUGACCAUUAUUUUCCAUUCACUGAAGUAAAAGCACCUGAUGCUGCAUCACAACUGCAGUGUUUAUUUUUAUUUUUGGCUUUUAUGUCUAUACAUACAGCUUUUUAAGGAAUGAAUUAUGUAGCACUAUUUUGGGUGGAUGAGUUUUAUUUUCUUUUAAAGCUGCCUUAAUUCCAUUUUUAUUUUGCAUUUUAGAAUUGCCCCUCAUUUACUACAUCAGUCAGUUAAUGUGAUUCAGUUUUGACCUGUGGGAUUUAAAAUUUUUACUGCCCUCAGAAUUUAAGCAAAAUCCAUGAUAGUAUCAGCCCAAGAAUGUGUUGUUAUUUGUAAGCCCCACAGAACGAUACAUAAACUAUGGAGAAAAAAUAAAAUUUCAUAUUUCUACUCA